rnacentral:lncRNA from 1 species
UUUCAUGUUAAAUAAAAUAUUUUUCUUUUUAAUCUGUUCCAAAAUAAAUGGUAUAUUUUUAAAUUUGAAAGUAAUUCAACUUUAAACUCUUUCAUUUUACCCAUGUAUUUUUAGUGAGAAACUUUUUUACCACACAAAUAUCAUGGCCCCACAAAUUUUUAUUUACAAAUUUUAAAAAUCUUCUUUUUUUUUAUUUAAACUCUGUACUGAGUCAAACUAAAGUACAUUUAAUAAAGGAGUAGUAGCUCAACAGGAGAAGAACCAUCCAACGCUGCCCAUUAAUUUCAUUCCGUGGACCCACAUUUUGCCUCAAUACGUUUGACCUUUUCCUUUUUGGUUUCUUAUGGUGAUGCAUCCAGCAUAUUCAUUAAAAUUUAACAAGAGAUGGAGAUGGCAACUACAAGGCAAGAUGGUCAAUUUUGUACCACACCCACUAUCCCAAGCAAGUGAACUUUGCUUGCUGCUACACCAGUACUAGUACUAAUAAUAAUCAAACGACAAUAUCAUGACGAAUAUGGCGAAGCAGCACCGGAAUAACAACAUCCGGUGAGCUGAGUUGCGGCAGAUGGCCUUCCGUGGACAUCACCUCUACGAUAGACUCGCCACCGAGGUGCUGAUGGAGGUACUCAGACACCACCACAGGCACGGCCAGGUCCUUCAUGCUCUGAAUUAAGUGACAUGGGACAGUUACAUGAGCCAACAAAUGCCUUAAAUCACUUAGGAAUAUGAUUUGUAACACACUUAGUGCUUACGAUAGACUCACCACCGAGGUGCUGGUUGAGGUACUCGGACACCACCACAGGCACGGCCAGAUCCUUCAUGCUCUGAAUUAUGUGACAUGGGACAGUUACAUGAGCCAACAAAUGCCUUAAAUCACUUAGGAAUAUGAUUUGUAACACACUUAGUGCAAUGUCUGGCCUCAUGUUGAAUAA